UCGACGAUGAGUCUUCUAGCUUGCUAGAAGUGGAUUAGUGGCGCACGGGUGAGUAAUGCAUAGGUUAUGUGCCCUUUAGUCUGGGAUAGCCACUGGAAACGGUGAUUAAUACUGGAUACUCCCUACGGGGGAAAGUUUUUCGCUAAAGGAUCAGCCUAUGUCCUAUCAGCUUGUUGGUGAGGUAAUGGCUCACCAAGGCUAUGACGGGUAUCCGGCCUGAGAGGGUGAUCGGACACACUGGAACUGAGACACGGUCCAGACUCCUACGGGAGGCAGCAGUAGGGAAUAUUGCUCAAUGGGGGAAACCCUGAAGCAGCAACGCCGCGUGGAGGAUGAAGGUUUUAGGAUUGUAAACUCCUUUUGUUAGAGAAGAUUAUGACGGUAUCUAACGAAUAAGCACCGGCUAACUCCGUGCCAGCAGCCGCGGUAAUACGGAGGGUGCAAGCGUUACUCGGAAUCACUGGGCGUAAAGAGUGCGUAGGCGGGGUAAUAAGUCAGAUGUGAAAUCCUGUAGCUUAACUACAGAACUGCAUUUGAAACUGUUACUCUGGAGUGUGGGAGAGGUAGGUGGAAUUCUUGGUGUAGGGGUAAAAUCCGUAGAGAUCAAGAGGAAUACUCAUUGCGAAGGCGACCUGCUGGAACAUUACUGACGCUGAUGCACGAAAGCGUGGGGAGCAAACAGGAUUAGAUACCCUGGUAGUCCACGCCCUAAACGAUGGAUGCUAGUUGUUGCCUUGCUUGUCAGGGCAGUAAUGCAGCUAACGCAUUAAGCAUCCCGCCUGGGGAGUACGGUCGCAAGAUUAAAACUCAAAGGAAUAGACGGGGACCCGCACAAGCGGUGGAGCAUGUGGUUUAAUUCGAAGAUACGCGAAGAACCUUACCUAGGCU
rnacentral:rRNA from 1 species